UCAACUUGAGAGUUUGAUCCUGGCUCAGAACGAACGCUGGCGGCAGGCUUAACACAUGCAAGUCGAACGCCCUCUUCGGAGGGAGUGGCAGACGGGUGAGUAACACGUGGGAACCUACCUAGGGGUACGGAAUAACUCGGGGAAACUCGUGCUAAUACCGUAUACGACCUUCGGGUGAAAGAUUUAUCGCCCCUAGAUGGGCCCGCGCUGGAUUAGCUAGUUGGUGGGGUAAAAGCCUACCAAGGCGACGAUCCAUAGCUGGUCUGAGAGGAUGAUCAGCCACACUGGGACUGAGACACGGCCCAGACUCCUACGGGAG
rnacentral:rRNA from 1 species